rnacentral:rRNA from 1 species
UACGUAGGGGGCAAGCGUUGUCCGGAUUUAUUGGGCGUAAAGAGCGUGUAGGCGGCCAUGUAGGUCCGUUGUGAAAACUCGAGGCUCAACCUCGAGACGCCGAUGGAAACCAUGUGGCUAGAGUCCGGAAGAGGAGAGUGGAAUUCCUGGUGUAGCGGUGGAAUGACGCAGAUAUCAGGAAGAACACCCGUGGCGAAGGCGGCUCUCUGGGACGGUACUGACGCUGAGACGCGAAAGCGUGGGGAGCGAACAGG